rnacentral:lncRNA from 1 species
GUUGAUUAUCGAAUUUCUGAUUCCAUAUUCCCCUGCAACAUGGGAAAUUCAUGGAACGGGUGGCCAAUUUAUAAUUCACUCACUAUAGUUAGCAGUCUACAAGAGGUGUCUGCAGAUAUUCCUGUGAACGGCUACAUAGACUGUCUUGUCUGUUUUCAAGUCCUUUAGCAAUUUCUUUAUGCCUAAUUUACUCAUUCUCUAUACUUCUCAUAUGAGAAUUCACCAUGUUUCUAUUUGAAUAGGAAUACAUGGGCGGC